CCACCAUCCAAAAGCGUGUUGAAGAACAGGCCAAAGUCCCGUUCAAAUUCAGGGACAGCUUCAAGCAGUUUUUCUUCUUGCCCACGGGAGUGUUGAAGAUCCUGAGGCUGGGUCUUAUCAUAGGAACAUUAGUUUGUUUCAUCACUGCCAAAGCCCAUGAGUUGUAUAUAGCCAUCACAGUUCUGGAAAUGUGCAUCGUUCUUUUUUUUAUUAUAAUAUAUAUACUAGACAUUCA